UACGUAGGGGGGCAAGCGUUGUCCGGAUUUAUUGGGCGUAAAGAGCGUGUAGGCGGCCAUGUAGGUCCGUUGUGAAAACUCGAGGCUCAACCUCGAGACGCCGAUGGAAACCAUGUGGCUAGAGUCCGGAAGAGGAGAGUGGAAUUCCUGGUGUAGCGGUGAAAUGCGCAGAUAUCGAGGAAGAACACCCGUGGCUAAGGCGGCUCUCUAGUACGGUACUGACGCUGAGACGCGGAAAGCGUGGGGAGCGAACAGG
rnacentral:rRNA from 1 species